GGUCCCUCUCCCGGCUCCCCAGCCCCCAUCUCAAGCCGCAGGAAGUGGAGCUGCUGCGAGUCUCUCCUCCAGCCUCGCCUCCUGCCGAGAGUGUCCUCUGCGAGAGCAUUUCCUGGCCUAAUUAAGCUGGGUAAUGAGUAGCCAGGAGGGAGGGGAUGAAAGCCCUAGGCAGCUUAGAGCUGGGACAGUUUAUGAUGGGGGCGUCUGCAGCUGGUGACACUGUUAGGAAAGUUAUUUCUCAUAACCCUGGGAAGUGGCAUGCUGUUUCCUCAGCAGAGUGAGCCCGAGUUACCUUGUGACACGGGCGCUAUUACUAUGCCUAUGUUACAGAUGAAAAGGCUGAGAUCCCGUGAGUGCGCGAGGGCCCGCGGUGGUGGAGCCGCCUUCGGCCUCAGGUCGGCCUGACUUCGCAGCCAUUGGAGGGUGUGCGGCGUUUUCCAGUCACGUCCUUCAACGGGUGAAAUGGCUUGGUGUCAGUAUUCCUUACUCAGAUAGUGUUACUGGUAAAAUUGUGUCCCCCCCCCCCAGAUUCAUACGUUGAAGCUCUAACCCCCAGUACCUCAGAUGUGACUGUCCUUGGAGACAGGGCCGUUAAAGAGGUGAUUAAGUUAAAACGAGACUGUUAGGGUGGGCCCUCAUCCACCUGACUGGUGUCCUUAUAAGAAGAGGAAAUUUGGACACACAAAGCCUGGGGUCACACGCACAGAAAGACCACAUGAGGACACGGAGAAGGUGGCUGUCUGAGCCAAGGAGAGAGGCCUCAGAAGAAACCAGACUGGCCGACACUUUGGUCUUGGACUUUUAGAUUCCAGAACUGUGAGAAAAUAAAUUUCUGUUGUUUAA